rnacentral:lncRNA from 1 species
GCUUUGCUUUUAUUUAUUUAUUUAUUUAUUUUGUGAAGAUGCUUCAGAAACUGAUGUAGCCUUCUCUGUGCUCCAAAGAGACUUAAGGACACGACUUUGACUCUGCCUGUGUUCUCCUUAGUGGUAAACAAAAAAAGAGGUUUCUAGUGACUGAUAGAUUGGCGGGUUGGGUAAUUGGUGGAUUGGUUGGUUGGUGGGUUGGUGGAUUGGUUGGUCGUUGCUGGGUUAGUUGAUUGAUGGGUUGAUUGGUUGGUUGAUGGGUUGGUUGGUUGGUUGAUGGGUUGAUUGGUUGGCUUUUUUGAGACAUAAACUCAUCAUUUGAACCCAGGCUGGCCGCAUACCCAUCAGUAUCCUGCCUUGGCACCUAACUCAGCAAGCUUGACACAGAUUUCAGUUUCGCAGCCUCUGGAAGCCGUAGAAACGCUUGUGUUUGGCAUGAGAUGAACAAAACGGCUGGCUCUGUUCGGGACUCAAAGUAGGCGUCUCACGAGAACGAGGCAAAGGCUGUAAAAAGGGAAAGGCUACUCAAGUCUCAUUUAAGUUAUCUCUUUAGGGCUGUAUCAGUCUGAUGCUUCCAGGUGCCUGCUGUUUGAGGUAAACCCUCAAGUCCAAAGGCAUGGUAGAAAAUGAGUUUGACCAUAGUAAAGAAGCUUAAAGAACAGUUGCCACUGAUAAACAGAUGACCCGAUAAUGCAGACUCUUUCAAGUAGGACCUGACUGUGAGUGGAACUUACAGAGAAAGGCCUGGUGCUUUAACACAAGCUGUUUGCCUAGUGCACUGGAGCAAAGGAUACACCAACAUGUGGAAGGUGUGUGUGUGUGUGUGUGUGUAUGUGUGUGUUGGCAGAGCUGCUGUACCCGUUCCAGGAAAGUCAUUAUUAUGCCUGCACUCUGCAGUGAAGUCAGAGUUACUUUAUUGGGGCAUUUCUCAUUCCACAUGUGAAAGAGCGGAGAGGCAUGUGUUCAUGGUCUGACUUAGGAGCAGAAGGGAGGGUAGCAGCAAGGUUAUGAUGAACGGAAAAUGUCAGUUCUGUCAAAUUUGAGCAAAGACUUUAUCAUGUGGGGGCUGUGCUAUCCCACCAAAACCACAGAAGUAGAGCUACAGACUCAGUAAAGAGGUUUUAUAGCUGUGCAGAAUUGGCCAAUUGUUUCAAGAUUAUUACUGUUUUGAGGAUACCUCUGGAAAUGCUUUUAAAAACUACCUCGCAAAUACCAUUCCAGCUCAAUCAUGUGGGAAGGUUAGAGGGUUAGGUUAGCAGGUGUUAACUUGAGCUGUCAAGUCGG